rnacentral:hammerhead_ribozyme from 1 species
AUCCAGCUGACGAUCCCCAGAUAGGACGAAACGCGCGUCCUGGAU